GUAAAUUCUAAAAUACAUCUCCUGAAUGCAACCCAAGCACUUUAAUUAAGCUAGCACCUCCUAAGCAAA
rnacentral:tRNA from 1 species